rnacentral:lncRNA from 1 species
CAAGUUUACACACCUGCCCAAGGUUACACAGACUAGUGUCCUUAUAAGAAGAGGAGAAGAUACCAGGAAUGCAAGUGUAGAGAAAACAUCAUGUAAGCAAGAAGGCAGUGAUCUGCAAGCAAAGGAGAGAGGACUCACCAGAAAUCAACUUGCUAGCACCUUGCUCUUGGACUUCUAGCUUAUAGAAGUGUGAGAAAAUAAAUUUCUUCGGUUUAAGCCCCUCAGUCUGCAGUAUUGUGUUAC